GGGGUAGGUUGUGGCUCAAUGAUAGAGCAUGUGCUUGGAGUGCAGAAGGUCCCAGGUUCAAUCUCUGGCAUUCCCA
rnacentral:tRNA from 1 species